CAGCUGUUCAGGAGGGAAACCUCUGCAGGGCCACUCUCGAAAAUAUAUGGACAGCAAUAAUCAUACAACACCACUAUUUGGAGGACACAAACUUUGAAUAUCAGCUGUGGCCGCUUGCAUUGCUGCUGUUGCUGUCCUUGAACCCCUCCUCGACCAGCGUUUCUGUUGGCAUGGGAUCCAUUCCGUCUCCUGUUCACCAUGGUAGAAAUCUCAGUUUAUUCAACCAGGCUUUCAGCUUUGCACUGUCUCAGCUCCCCAGAUGUGUGAAGUCUUUGCGUUUACUUCUAUAUAGAUAACUGGUCACUAUGACCGUUGUCCCGAGGCAAAUGAGCAAAGUGAGAGCUGGAGAGGGAUAAAUGGGCAGUCCAAACCGCCGAAGGGGAGAGAGAAGCACGCAGCCGUAUUCAUGUGUGCAUUCAUUUAUGCUAUGCUGAAAAGCAAACCGUGUUGGUCUACUGAAAAGUAUUAAAAAUAAUGAU